rnacentral:rRNA from 1 species
CCUACGGGCGGCAGCAGUGAGGAAUAUUGGUCAAUGGACGCAAGUCUGAACCAGCCAUGCAGCGUGCAGGAAGACUGCUCUAUGAGUUGUAAACUUCUUUUGUACGAGGGUAAACGCAGAUACGCGUAUCUGUCUGAAAGUAUCGUACGAAUAAGGAUCGGCUAACUCCGUGCCAGCAGCCGCGGUAAUACGGAGGAUUCAAGCGUUAUCCGGAUUUAUUGGGUUUAAAGGGUGCGUAGGCGGUCGGAUAAGUUAGAGGUGAAAGUCCGAGGCUCAACCUCGGAAUUGCAUCUGAUACUGUUCGGCUAGAGAGUAGUUGCGGUAGGCGGAGUGUAUGGUGUAGCGGUGAAAUGCUUAGAGAUCAUAAAGAACACCGAUUGCGAAGGCAGCUUACCAAGCUACUACUGACGUUGAGGCACGAAAGCGUGGGGAGCAAACAGGAUUAGAUACCCGGGUAGUC